AUUUUGCACAGGAUCCAUUUUGUGACUACAAGAAUCGGUAAAGCAAAUUCUCAAACUGAAAAGCAGACUUUAAAGUCUACAGGUCUGGCUUUAAAAUCCUUCUAAUCUGACCCUGAGGAGAGAAGGUCUGACUUUGAGAGAGAGGAGGGGUCCCUGCCUCUCAAAUGAGUCUCUCUGGGGAGAGUGAGGAGGGGAGCCCUGCCUCUAAAAUGAGUCUUUCUGGGGAACAUGACAUGGACACCAAAGCUAAGAGCCCAAUCCAGCAGAGACCAGCCUCACCUGUACCCAGCUGUGUGUCCAUGAAGAGUGACAGGUCUAUGGAACCACCUUUCAAGUUCAGUGAUGGAGGAGGACCUUGUAAUGAGGAAGGGUAUGUACUGACCUCUGCUGGUGUUCAAUGUUAUGU